GAUGAAGAACGCAGCGGAAUGCGAUAAGUAAUGUGAAUUGCAGAAUUCAGUGAAUCAUCGAAUCUUUGAACGCACAUUGCGCCCGCCAGUAUUCUGGCGGGCAUGCCUGUUCGAGCGUCAUUUCAACCAUCAAGCCCCCGGGCUUGUGUUGGGGACCUGCGGCUGCCGCAGGCCCUGAAAAGCAGUGGCGGGCUCGCUGUCACACCGAGCGUAGUAGAUUUUAUCUCGCUCUGGGCGUGCUGCGGGUUCCGGCCGUUAAACCACCCUUUUAACCCAAGGUUGACCUCGGAUCAGGUAGGAAGACCCGCUGAACUUAAGCAUAUCAAUAAGCGGAGGA
rnacentral:misc_RNA from 1 species